UACGUAGGGGGCAAGCGUUGUCCGGAUUUAUUGGGCGUAAAGAGCUCGUAGGUGGUUCGGUAAGUCGGAUGUGAAAUCUCCAGGCUCAACCUGGAGGGGUCAUUCGAUACUGCCGUGACUAGAGGUCGGUAGGGGAGUGUGGAAUUCCUGGUGGAGCGGUGAAAUGCGUAGAUAUCAGGAGGAACACCUGUGGUGUAGACGGCUCUCUGGACCGCAACUGACGCUGAGACACGAAAGCGUGGGUAGCAAACAGG
rnacentral:rRNA from 1 species